rnacentral:rRNA from 1 species
AACGGUGGAGCAUGUGGUUUAAUUCGAAGCAACGCGCAGACCUUACCAGCCCUUGACAUGGGAGUUUGGUCGCCGGAGACGGCGUCCUUCAGUUCGGCUGGCUCCCACACAGGUGCUGCAUGGCUGUCGUCAGCCCGUGUCGUGAGAUGUUGGGUUAAGUCCCGCAACGAGCGCAACCCUCAUCCUCAGUUGCCAUCGGGUUUGGCCGGGCACUCUGAGGAAACUGCCUGUGAUAAGCAGGAGGAAGCGGGGAUGACGUCAAGUCCUCAUGGCCCUUACGGGCUGGGCUACACACGUGCUACAAUGCGGUGACAGCGGAAGCGAAAGGGCGACCUGGAGCAAAUCCCCAAAAGCCGUCUCAGUUCGGAUUGCACUCUGCAACUCGAGUGCAUGAAGGUGGAAUCGCUAGUAAUCGCGGAUCAGCAUGCCGCGGUGAAUACGUUCCCGGGCCUUGUACACACCGCCCGUCACACCAUGGGAGUUGGUUUUACCCGAAGGCGGUUCGCCGACCCGUAAGGGAGGCUGCCGACCACGGUAAGGUCAGCGACUGGGGUG